UAGAUGUGACAGAGACUGAUUUUGUUUCAAAAGCUGCCAAAGAGUUCCUCGAGCGUUAUAAAGCCAGUAAAGAAGGCAGGAAAAAGCAGUUAUCAAUAUUGUCCCUUAAGACGUGUCCAUCAGAAGCUGCCAAAGAAUUUGCAGAAUCAAAAA